CACGAAAUUCCUAGCUGUGAUCAUAUCUUCUGAUCUUUUCCUAACAAACAUCCCACUGAUCAUGACAUUAUAAGUGUCUUUAUCUGGUAAGCAAUCCCGACCUUUUAUCAUCUCCUUGAACAAUUCCAAACCAUGGUCUAUGUCACCAGCUUCCAUUCGAUGUCUGAUCAGAAUAUUAUAUGUCUGCACAUUAGGUUUGCAUCCAUCAAGCUUCAUUCGGGAUACAAAUCCCUCUGCUCCAUCCAUGUCACCAGAGUGGCAAAAUCCUCUUGUGAUCAGAUUGUAAGUGAUGGUAUUGGGAACACAUCCAGUUGCUGUCAUUUGUUCGAACAUUUUGAUGGCAUUUUUAACCGAAUCCUUCUUGCAUAGCACCUGGAUCAUGGCGUUAUAAGUUGGAAUAGAUGGGUUACAUCCGUUCUUUAUCAUUUCCUCAAACACCUUACGUGCUUUAUCCACGUGUCCAGCAACACCCAAUCCAUGGACGACAGUGGUGUAAGACACAACAUCUGGACCGCAACCAGAACUAUCUCUUUCUAUACACCUUAUUUUCAUCUGUCGGAAGAAUUCUAACGCUUCCUUAACCUGACCCGCCCGGAAGAAACCCUUAAGCAAAAUAUUGUAAGUGGUCAAAGUCGGAUCAAUUCCAGACUCCACCAUAUCCUUCAACGUCGCUAUCGCUCUAGGCGUCUGUUUAAUUCUGCACCAACCAUCUGCAAUGAUGUUAUACGUUAUACAAUCCGCCCCAAAUCGACGCCGGAAAACCCUAAAUAAACUGCAAGCCUUUUCCACACGUCCAGAUUUACACAUCACAUCGAGAAGAGUGUUAAACGAAGAAAGAUCUUGUAUACACCCUUGUUUAUGCAUCGAUAGGAAAACCCUAACGGCGCGGUCGGCCUUUCCGGUAUUAACAUACCUCUCCAUCAGAACCGCAAAUGUACGGGGUGUGGAAGGGAUCCUUGCCUUGUGUCUGAUAGAAAUUAUUCGGGAAACAGCUCCACGAUCACGAAGCCGAGCUGCAAUGUCGAUCACGUGAUCGAGGGUGGACGCGGCAGGGACAUAGGAGGGGUUAUGAUCGACCAUGACAUGGAAGAAAAAGAGUGCCUUUGGACCGUCAUUCCAUAGGAUUUUGAGAAUCCUAUCGACGAGGGGAUGCGUGAAGACGAUGGGCUUGGAUAAGUUGGAUCGGAGUUUAAGAUAUAGGGAUUUCGGAGUGCCGUUGUGGGAGAGAAUCAGUGUGGAUAUUUCUGAUGAGAGAAGUUCAAGGUUGGAACCUUGACAUGGUGAGUGGAAGAUGUCGGAGUGCGAUGAAUAUGAUCGGAGGCUGAGAGGGAAGAAGGUACGGUUUGUAGCGAUCGAAGGCAUUGCGGAAAAUUGCAAAACGUCUUUCCCUGAUCCGAGAAUGAUGACUGUUCAGUUAAUCACUGAAUCCCCAGUUUUUUUAAACUUAAAUACGGUAUUUCCGAAAAAGUCAAAGUAGAUGUUUAAAUUAAUUUUCUAAUUAUAGAUCUGUAUUUGGUUGGAUCAGUAAGUAGGUGAUCAUCAUCAUUCAAGAAUAAUUUGGAUGAGAUGGAAAGCAUGGAAGCAAGUAGGCUAUAUUUUUCUAUGAUAUGUGGUGAUUUAUAAGUAAAUAAAAAUUAAAAUACAUAUAUUAAAACUCAAAUCUUGCAUCUUCAGAAAUAUUAUUGGCAAAGCUUUGGAGGAUAACUUUAUCUUCUUUAGUGUUGUUGUGAACACAUCCAAAAGUUCUCAACAUAUAGUAAUUUGGUGCUUUGUUAUGAAAUAUCUCAUAUGGAGACUUGAAUACAAGCGGUCAGAAACAUGUUUAUCAAAUAAGUAGUUGCGAGCAUACUCUCUCUAAAAAAUGUUAGAAGGUUCUACUGUAGAAUUUGAUUACCAUGGCUACCUCUAAGAGGAGGAGUAUAAGGCAAGAGAAUUGUUGAAUUAUUCUUAAAGAUGCACGAUAUUGAGUUAUAUAGGCAUAUUUGAACUCUGUUCUAUUAUCUGACUUAAUUAUUCUGACUUUCUUAUCAUACUGCAAGUUCACCAUUGCAAUGAAUUCCUUUUAAACCUUCAAAAGUCUGAGUCUUACUUUUUAACAAGAAAGUUCAAGUUGUUCUUGAAAUAUCAUCUACAAUGGUUAAAAAGAAAUUGAAACCAUUAAUGUGAGAUGUUAAUGGCAACUUUCCCCAAAGGUCUACAUGUAUUAAGUAAAAUGCAUCAAUACUCCUAGUAAUACUUUUAACAUAUGAGAGUUUUGUUUGCUUAACCCUAGGACAUGCAGAACAUAUAUAAUCAGUACGUUUAACAUAUGAAUUUAUUAUGUGUUUAAAAUAUCAAACAUAUAUUUAAGUUUUUUAGAUGAAGCAUGACCCUGACAUUUCAAGUAACAAAAGAAACCACGUUUUUUUAGUUUUUGGAAAGAAAAAAACAUAGUGUUUGACCCCAAUUCUUCUCAAUUGUACUUGAACCUUUCUCAUAUUGAGUUCGGAGAAACCAUGGAUAAAGUAGCGUCUGUUUAAUUUGAGUUUGUCCAUAUUGAUUGCAAUGUUCAUAACACAAUUUUUUGUUAAGUCUUUUACCAUUUUUAUUCAAAACAUAUUUUUCGAGGAAUUUACCACUCUUCUUUGAAUUUUCAGCCUCAGAGUUGUCUUACUUGUUUGUUGUGGUCAUGGAGCGUUUGUCCUUUGAUUUUGUGGCUGCAAAAGCAUGUUUAUGCACUCCUGGUGCCCCUUAUGAUCCUCAUCAGUGGUGAUAAAACUCAAAGUUUCAUAAAUGGAAUUAUGGGAGAUAUCUUUUUAAUAGCAAGGAUCUGUGUCUUAAUAUUUGUAAAAUUUUCAUUCAAACUUAGCAAGAAAACAAUAAUUUUGUCUUGUU
rnacentral:lncRNA from 1 species